CAGCCGCCGCGGUAAAACCAGCACCUCAAGUGGUCAGGAUGAUUAUUGGGCCUAAAGCAUCCGUAGCCGGCUCUGUAAGUUUUCGGUUAAAUCUGUACGCUCAUCGUACAGGCUGCCGGGAAUACUGCAGAGCUAGGGAGUGGGAGAGGUAGACGGUACCCGAUAGGAAGGGGUAAAAUCCUUUGAUCUAUUGAUGACCACCUGUGGCGAAGGCGGUCUACCAGAACACGUCCGACGGUGAGGGAUGAAAGCUGGGGGAGCAAACCGGAUUAGAUACCCGGGUAGUCCCAGCUGUAAACUAUGCAAACUCAGUGAUGCAUUGGCUUGUGGCCAAUGCAGUGCUGCAGGGAAGCCGUUAAGUUUGCCGCCUGGGAAGUACGUACGCAAGUAUGAAACUUAAAGGAAUUGGCGGGGGAGCAC
rnacentral:rRNA from 2 species